rnacentral:hammerhead_ribozyme from 1 species
AUCAAGCUGACGAGUCCCAAAUAAGAUGAGACGCACGUUCUGGAU